rnacentral:lncRNA from 1 species
CCAGCUGCCUCACGGCCUCCUCCGCCACACCUCUCCUUCCUUUAGAAAAGGAAUGGCAAGGCCCCAACAUUUUCCUUUUGAAAAUACAUUGGAAGAACAACUUUGUCUCUUAGCCUUUUCAGUACUGUCCCUUUCCCCGCAAGCCAGCAAACCCCAGAAAGAGACUGAUCACAUUUUCAAGCCUGCUGGUGCCUACCAGUGGCAGCAAGGACGCCCCCAGAUGGGCAAGCGGCCUCGCGUGUCCACGGACAGCGGUUCUUUCUACAUGUUUGGGCCUGGGUCCUUGGACCAGUAAGUACUGAAGGGCAGUUUCAGAGCAUCCCGGGCACAUGCUUGCUUGAAGCCCAAGUUGCUGUAGGUUGGCGUGGCAAUCCUGUGACUCAGGUAUGUGGGAGACCAGGUCAGUGAGAGACAGCUUGGGCUUGCGUGUUGCUGCUCUUCCUCUGUGGCUCCCUGGGCCAGCAGAAACUGGCCUAGAGCGGGGCUGGCGGGGGGGGGGGUUCGAAAGCAUCCCUCCACUCCCCCCGCCCCAACCCCCAGCAGACUUAGCCUUAAAAGAAGAACGUUUUUUCUGUUUGUUUAUCUGAGACUUGAGUUUGGGACAGAAGGAAAUAACAUGUUUUAGGGCGAAUGCUAACUCGUGAAUAAUGGAGUUUUGAAAACAGUAAAAUACUACCCUCUUGGUUUUUCAGACCCGAUCUUUAGGAAAACAGAACAAAGGAAGAACUACGGGUGGCUGCUGGGAACAGACUCGGGCACGGGGCUCGACAGAGAGGAUGCUCUCUGAAAGAGCAGCCCGUUAAGGAGUUAAAAAGAGAGAGAGGGCUUCAAACUAAUUUCACACCGAAAGUGAUGUUUAAUUUAAAUCCUGCUCUUCCCAAAGGGAAAAGGUCCAAAACUCAAAUGAAAGCCUCGGACCACAUCUGCGAACCCCCUGGCUGGCCAGUCCUCCCCACCGCUGUGCACAACAGGGAGAAGACGCGAACGAGGGCACACACACACACAGAGACAGAGAUCACCGGACACACGCCAACAAAGACACACAGCUAUGAACGGGCACGGGCUCGGCGGCCUCCCCGCCCCGGCGGACGGUGGUGGCGCGGUCGCAGAGGUACAGGGAGUAACAGUAAAUACCAACAAGGACGGAGACGCUUAUCAAGUCUGCCGGCAGCCUGACAGAUGCUCUCGGGCUGGGGAAGGCACUUAGGACAAUCAUCGCUCCUAAAAGAGAAAAUGAUUAUACGCUACCCAAACCCUAAGUACAAGCUAAAGAUAUUCACCUCGUUGAAGCCAUUCCUCAACUAGCCCCUUGGCACUUGCUGGAAUGAUUCGCAGCACGAGCUCUACUUUCUCAUUUUCUGCUGACUCCAUGUGGGUAAUUCCUUUCUCGUGAUUAAAAGUGAGUUUGGCAGAGCCUUCAAAGCGGCCGUAGGUGUGGGGAGGCUCCCAGGGCAUCCUUUGUCUGAGGCAGGUGGCUAAUCAUUCAUCAGUGGCCGGACGGGCGGGCCCGGGGAAUAGUCAGGCACCUACAAAUAAUUUUUUAAAGGCAAACUUUAUAGAGAGCUUUAUGUAAACAUAUUUUUAUAAUAAAACAUGCAGUGGACGGAUGAAAUGAACUGUU